rnacentral:misc_RNA from 1 species
CGGGAGAGGAAGAUCUUUAAGAAUUAUCACAUUAAUUUGUGUUCAUUAACUUAUCAAUUAUAUUUAUCUUUGGAUAUGACAUAAUUAUGAACUCAACGUAUCUUAAAUGAAAUUUGGGGAGAUUUAAAUGUGAUAUGAUGAUUUAUGGUACUGCAUAUUGCAUCUACUCUAAUUCUGCCAAUCGAGCGUUUAUAUAAUCCUAAUAGAUAUAUAGCACUUGACCUCUCG